rnacentral:lncRNA from 1 species
UUUAAAUUAUGAAUUAAAUUUAAUUUUUGAUAUCAAAUCUGAAUUAACAAUUAAUUUUUUUAUUACAGUGGAUCAAAAUUAAAAUUUAAAUUUUAAAGUAAAUGUGAAUUAAAUUUUGAUGCUUUUAGUUCAAAACACAUAUUUAAAUUUGAUUAAUAAAAAAUCAAAAAAUAUAUAAAAAUGUUCGAUGUAUAUAAAAAAAAGAAUAUUGUAGGAUAUUGUAAAUAUUUUCUAAUAAAAUAUAACUUAUUAAAUUAUAAAUAUAAUUUUUAUUGUAAGAUUUUAAAUACAUAUAAUGUACAAAUUUAUAUUGAUUUAAUAAAUUAUAAUAAUUAUUACGUGCAUUUGCACGUACAUUCAACUAGUAUACAUAUAAGCACGAAUUUCAAAUUUCGGUCUGUCGACAGACUUAUUUCAAAAUUUCUAUUUUUUCGUUCGCAAAAUAAAUAACGUAACGAAACAAACUUUCAGUUUUUCCUUUUUCUCCAACUAUUAAUAUUUUAUUCUUUUUAUUAAAUAUUUUCAUCAUUCAAUAUCUUUUCUUUUUAAAAUAAAUAUUUAUAUAUUAUCUCAAUUCUGUCUACAAAUAUUUUAUUAUUAUAUUAAGUUUUUACUUUUGAUAUUUUUAGUUUAAAAUAUAUAUUUAAAAUUUGAAUUUAUCAAACUUAAAAAAUAUGGAAAAAUAUUCAAUUUCUAUCUAUAUCUACACUAUAUAUAAAUUUUAUAAAAUAAAAAUAAUUAUAUAAUUAUUGAUGGCAACAACUAUUUAAACUUGAGUUAGAAUAUAACAUAUAUUUUCAAUAGUAUAUAAUAAAUAAAUUUACUUUUUUAAAUUUAAAUUUUAUAUUAUAAAUUUUUGAAUAAAUAUGAUAUACAAAUUUAUAUUAAUUUGAGAUAGUUAUUAAAAUAUUUAUUACGUGUAUUUACACCUAUACUCAACUAAUGUAUAUACAUAUAUAUAGAGAGAGAUAGAGAGCAAGACUGCAUGCUUUUAGGAGCAUGAGGUCUCCGUGCUUCCGAGUCAUUUUCGAUAAUGGAAUUUUCGAUUCGACAAUUGACUUCGUUAGACUUGAUCUAACAUAUUUGAAAUUUCUAGAAAAUAAUUUUUACAAUUUUUCGAUAUCAUUGACCUAGCAAUCGAAAGGAUUUAACAUCAACGGCUGAAAAUAAAAAUCCUAUAAAACAUAAUGAUAUAAUACUAAAAUUUUCGAUCAAAGAUAUUGAUCAUAUUGUAGAUACUAUAAAAAAUUUUGUAUCAAAAUUUCAUCUGAUUUGAAUACUUCUACACUGUUAAAGUUGAAAACGGUAGACAUCAACCAUUAAAAAAUAUUGAUGUUGAACCCUUUCGAUCACUAGGUAAAUGAUAUCAAAAAAUCGUAAAAAUUAUUUUCUAGAAACUUUAAAUACGCUAGAUCAAGUCUAACGGAGGCGAUAGUCGAUUCGAAAAUUUUAUUAUCGAAAACGGCUCAGAAACACGAAGGCUUCCGUACUCCUAAGAACACAACAGUUCUGAUAUAUAUAUUAUAUUCGAGUUAUAUCGAGUCGAACACAAGUGUUUUUUUUUUUUUUUUUUUUUUU